UGGAUGCUGAUUGGUUUCAGUUGAUCAAUUGAUACCUUUAUAUGUUUCAUGACAGUUUUCAAGCCUAGGAACCAAGCCCUUGAUCAUGACUAAAACCUCUCUGCUUCUGGCAUCUUCAAUCUUAUAAGCAUAGCAUGCAUUCCCCGUCAAACACUUAAUCUUCAUGGCUUGGUCCUCUUGGUCAUACAUAGUUCUUCUUUAGUGUUUGUGUCUAUAUAUGUUUCUGUGUGGAGUGUGCAUGCUUUUUCAAAAGAAUAAUAAUAAUGACAGGGUGUAGACAAUAUCAUGUCUACAGAAGAUUUAUUUUUCUUGACCUCUUGCUAUAUAUAUGUGUGUGUGUGUGUGUGUAGAUAUAUAUGUAUAUAUAUGAGAGAGAUAUGAUGAAGAACCUAGGACCUCUCUAUUAAAGGAAGGAAUGUCAACCACAUGAGAUAAGUCUGGUUGGCUUUUCCCGUAUUGUUUUACUCAUGACUGUUUCUCUAUUCAUUUGAUGACCAAAUAUCUUCUUAAUAACCUUGUUUCUCACUUGUCAGUUCCUGUUCCAUUCAAAUGUUUCUAUUGAUAUUUGUCUGUUUCUUUGAUUG
rnacentral:lncRNA from 1 species